UAGCUCUACUUCUGUGAAUAGUACCAAAACUAUGACAGAUCUUGUAUCCUGAUUCUUCAUAACUAGAAAUGGUCAUCUUGAAAAUGAGUCUACCUGUAUGUGUAGAUUCCUGAAAUAUCAAUACUUUGGUUACCGCUAACUUACCAAUAUCAUCAAGGUAUUUUGAACACAGAGUCUAAUGUUUUGGCCACAAUCUACCUUGGCAUACUCACUGUAAACGUUUCCAUAGUUUUAUCAUCAUUAGCUGAAUGUCAAAUCUUGCAGUUACGGAUAUUUUAGUCACAAUCUACCUUGGUAUCUUUUCUGUUGGUGUUAUCAUAGUUUAGUCACUGCUAGCUUAACACUAAGUCUUGUGGUAGUUACUAAUUCUUUGGCCACUAUCUACCGUGGCAUCUCCUUUGUAGAUGUUACCAUACAUUUGUCCCCACUACCUCACCAUCAAGCGCUGUGUGCACCACACAUAAUUUGGUCACAGACAAGUACUGUCUUCUUUCCUGUAUAUGUUACAAUUGUUUCAUCACUUGAAUAUGUUACAAUUGUUUCAUCACCUGAAUAACCUUAACCUUUUCGAUACCAACCUGGCUGAAACCACCUCUGGCUCCGUAGAACAAAUAUCUUGCUUUCAUAAGUUCUGAAUUAAAAUCUUCCACCAAACCUUAGACACAAUUUAUGUUCCUAACUCUAGCAGAAUUAUAACGAAGUUAUUUUACGAAAUUCUUUGUUAUAGUUAAAAUUAAUUGAAAGAAACACAGAACAUCUCAAAAUAAAUACGGUAAUGAAAGGGUUAAAAUAUAUAAUAGAGAAACAAUUCUUAACCCUUUUGAUACCAACCUGGUUGAAACCACCUCUGGCUCUGUUGUACAAAUGUCUUGUUUUCAUAAGUUUUGAAUUAAAAUCUUCCACCAAACCUUAGUCACAAUUUAUGUUCCUAACACUAGCUGAAUGAUAACUAAGUUAUUUUACUAAAUUCUUUGUUAUAUUUAAAGUAAUUGAAAGAAACACGGAACAUCUCAAAAUAAAUACGGUAAUGAAAGGGCUAAUGUUAUUUCCUAUGGAUGUUACCAAAACUUUGCUUACUGCCAUUUUCAAUAGAUACCACCAUUUUCAAUAGAUAUCACCAACUUUCCUUUAUCAAAUCCAGUCUGUUGAUUUUUACCAGUAUUUUCUUACCAAAAGGUUACCAAUUCAUAUCAUUGUUACCUGACGUUGGCUGCAGUAUUUUAUUGGUUCCUGUUCUCUGUGGAUAUCACCAAUGCUUUCUUACCAACAUUUAACA
rnacentral:lncRNA from 1 species